AUAAAAAUAAAAUAUGGUUUCUAAUAUGGCUGCCGGUCGAUCCUUAUUUUAUUAGCAUUUAUUUAAACUUAAUGAAACUUUCUUAAACUACCUUACUUCUGUUAAUAUGACAGUAAAUUAAAAGAAAAGUUAUGAUGACUUCGACUCCCAAGUCAGAGAAAUGCGGACAAGCUACAAGUAAAUAAGCAGUAUCUUGUUACAAAUUUGUUAGUAAAGUUUUAUUCCCGCAAAUAAACAAAGUUUAAUUA